GAGACGCACUCUGAAGCCAGCUUCCUGGCCCGCCCACCGAGGAGCACGGUUUUACUUCCUUAAAUCCCACUGAGCCAGGGUGACCUAAGUGGAGCCAGGUAACUGGCCCCAUUUUGGCUUUUUUUGUGCUGCUGGGGAUGAAACCCGGGGCCUCGUGCAUGUUAGUUCCUUCCCUCUUCAUAUUGCCUGGAGCAUGGAUAUGACUGGAGCUACAGCAGCCAUUCUGUGGUCGUGAGGAAACCUUGAAGAUGGAAGCCAAGAUGAAAAAAUAGUGGAGAGUUGAAAGGCCCUGAUAACUGAGUUGCCCAGCACCAAAGAACUGCCCACUACUGUGCAGGCUCAGCUGAUCUGUGCAGGACCUGGAUAAGUGACUUUGCUCAGGCUGUGGCUUGGCCGAGCUUACCCAGUGCCACGUUGAAGGUUGGGCUUAUUCUGCUCCAUAUUCACUCAUUCUACGGCCCUGGAUAAAGAGGAAGCAACUUCCCAGGCAUGCUCUUGUCUGGCAGGAUGUUAAAUUGCAUGGUCAUAUGUGUGUCUGCUAUUCGUAUGAACCAGUGUCUCACUAGCCAAAGCAAGGCACAGGACCAAGCAUACAGGCUGAGUGCAUCCAUUUUCCUCCUCAAGCUCAUCCAUCUUCAGGGCAAAGUAAUACUCCACGGUGUAUAAAUACCACAUCUUCUUCAACUCUUCAUCUGCUGAUGGACAUACAGGCCACUUCCAAGAUAACUAAUAGGCGUUGUGCUGCUAUAAACAUGGGUGUGUACGGAUUGCUGCAAUAUGACAUCUUUAACUACUGGGAAGCUGGGUCAAAAUAAACCUCUAUGUUUAGUUUUUUGAGGAAUCUCCAUACUGUUUUCCAUAGAUGUAUUAGUUUACAUUCUCACCAAUGAUACAGAAACAGUCCUUUUCCCCCACUUGGAUUUCUGUAAUGGCCAGUGAUGUUGAACAUUUCUUUGUGCAUUUAUUGGCCAAUUUG